AUCUAGUCUUAACGAGCUUUGAUG
rnacentral:siRNA from 1 species